AUGGAAGGACGAUAUUUAUAUGUGGCGUCGUAUAGUACCAUCACGGGUUCCAAAAACAUUAAACUGGGAUUUAUCAGGCUUUCUUGUUAUCAACUUUAUGCACUCGUGGAAUGGUAAAAGGUUACCCUGCAUUUCCACUACUUCAAGUGUACUGAGGACCAAAUUCUUGGUAGAGUUGAUGAAGUACCAGGAGAAUGAAUGUAAUGACAAUAUU